GCCAGGAAAGGUGGUACAUACUUGUAAUCCUAGCUCCUGGGAAGGUUUAGGCUGGUGGAACUUUUGAGCUUCGGAAUUGUGAGCUGCAGUGGACUAUGCUAAUUGGGUGUCUGUACUAAGUACAGCAUCAUAUGGUGAGCCCCUGGAAGUGGGGAGAGCACCAAAUUGCUGAAGGAGGGGUGAACUGGUCUGGAUCAGAAAUGGAGCAGAUCAAAGCUUCAGUGCUUAUCAGUAAGGGGACCAAGCCCUGUACUUCCAGCCUGAGUGUGGACAAGGAAACCCAGUCUUA
rnacentral:SRP_RNA from 1 species